CAUUGUGAAGAAGGAACAAGGAACAAUACUGGCCUUUUUAAGCACCAAUGCCACCAUUUACAGGCUAAUUAAAGUAUUGUGAGCAUGGACAAGGUGAGGACAGUCUUCCGCUGCUGGGGAUCCCAGAUCGCAUUCGAGCACAACAACAACCCCAAGCAUACCUGCACAUCAACUAAAGAAUGGCUUCAGCAGAAAAAAGAUCCAAGUUCGGAAUAACCCAGCCAGAGGCCAGACCUGAAAUCCAAUUACAAAUCUGUGAGACGACCUGAAGAGGGCUGCACACAGAAGAUGCUCUGAUAAGCCGACACAUUUGGAGCACUUUUGCAAGAAAGAGUGGGCAAAGAUUGCCAAUUUAUAAUGUGCCAUGCUGAUAGACUCCUAACCAGAAUAA